rnacentral:rRNA from 1 species
UACGUAGGGGGCUAGCGUUGUCCGGAAUCAUUGGGCGUAAAGAGCGUGUAGGCGGUCCGGUAAGUCCGUUGUGAAAGUCAAGGGCUCAACCCUUGAAUGCCGGCGGAUACUGUCGGGCUAGAGUCCGGAAGAGGCAAGUGGAAUUCCCGGUGUAGCGGUGAAAUGCGCAGAUAUCGGGAGGAACACCUGCGGCGAAGGCGGGUUGCUGGGCUGAUACUGACGCUGAGGCGCGAAAGCCAGGGGAGCGAACGGG